GAAAAGACCAAAGUGAUUUACUCUUCCUCCAAAACCAAAGCCGUUUGGGAUAAAUUCUGUACUAAAAUUCACAGCACGCUACCAUUCCAAGGCAAAUGCAAUGUCAAUUUCUUAAAAAACCAGAGCACAUUUUGUUGUCAUGCUUGCAUCAAGUAACAUGUAAUGCAAAUCAGGUUUUCACCUAUACAUGCACAGAGCAAACAUUCAGCAUCUGGACUCAAAAUUACAAGAAGAUGAUCAUUUUGAAAUGAAGAGUUGUUGGCGGAUAGCUAACCAAACCAUCGGAAAUUUUAUAAGGAAAGGCUAAUUUGCUACAUUGAUCAAGUUGAAUUUCAGGGAUUAAAUUGAUUACUUAUCCCUAUUUUAAGGGUUUGUUUAAAAGAGAUGAAUGAGUAGUAGUAGCAGUUGUAGUUAUUAAUUAAUAUUCUAUUGACUCUCAUUAAAAAAUUAUUUAUUAUUAGAUUAAUUCAAAUUGAAAAAUAUUUAUUUGAACACAUUUUGUUAUUGGUGUUUUAUAUGAUUAUUUUAUUUUUAAAUUAG
rnacentral:misc_RNA from 1 species